rnacentral:rRNA from 1 species
GAUGAACGCUGGCGGCGUGCCUAAUACAUGCAAGUCGAGCGAACAGACGAGGAGCUUGCUCCUCUGACGUUAGCGGCGGACGGGUGAGUAACACGUGGAUAACCUACCUAUAAGACUGGGAUAACUUCGGGAAACCGGAGCUAAUACCGGAUAAUAUAUUGAACCGCAUGGUUCAAUAGUGAAAGACGGUUUUGCUGUCACUUAUAGAUGGAUCCGCGCCGCAUUAACUAGUUGGUAAGGUAACGGCUUACCAAGGCAACGAUGCGUAGCCGACCUGAGAGGGUGAUCGGCCACACUGGAACUGAGACACGGUCCCGACUCCUACGGGAGGCAGCAGUAGGGAAUCUUCCGCAAUGGGCGAAAGCCUGACGGAGCAACGCCGCGUGAGUGAUGAAGGUCUUCGGAUCAUAAAACUCUGUUAUUAGGGAAGAACAAAUGUGUAAGUAACUAUGCACGUCUUGGCGGUACCUAAUCAGAAAGCCACGGCUAACUACGUGCCAGCCGCCGCGGUAA